rnacentral:rRNA from 1 species
AACGUAGGAGACAACCGUUAUCCGGAGUUACUGGGCGUAAAGGGCGUGCAGGCGGUCGACUAAGUCUGGCGUGAAAGCUCUCGGCUAAACCGGGAGAGGUCGUUGGAUACUGGUUGACUAGAGGACGGUAGAGGCGUGUGGAAUUCCGGGUGUAGUGGUGAAAUGCGUAGAGAUCCGGAGGAACACCAGUGGCGAAGGCGACACGCUGGGCCGUACCUGACGCUGAUACGCGACAGCAGGGGGAGCGAACGGG